rnacentral:rRNA from 1 species
GCUGGGGGCACAAACCAGGGGGUGGCGACUGUUUACUAAAAACACAGGGCUCUGCGAAGUCGCAAGACGACGUAUAGGGUCUGACGCCUGCCCGGUGCCUGAAGGUUAAAAGGAGGGGUGAGAGCUCCGAAUUGAAGCCCAGGUAAACGGCGGCCGUAACUAUAACGGUCCUAAGGUAGCGAAAUUCCUUGUCGGGUAAGUUCCGACCUGCACGAAUGGCGUAACGACUUCCCCGCUGUCUCCAACAUAGACUCAGUGAAAUUGAAUUGCCUGUCAAGAUGCAGGCUUCCCGCGGUUAGACGGAAAGACCCCGUGCACCUUUACUACAACUUUACACUGAUAACAGGCACAACAUGUGCAGAAUAGGUGGUAGGCUUUGAAGCAGAAACGCCAGUUUUUGUGGAGCCUCCUUUGAGAUACCACCCUUGUUUUGCUUGUUAUCUAACUGCGGUCCGUUAUCCGGAUCCAGGACCCUGUAUGGUGGGUAGUUUGACUGGGGCGGUCGCCUCCUAAAGCGUAACGGAGGCGCGCGAAGGUUGGCUCAGAGCGGUCGGAAAUCGCUCGUUGAGUGCAAUGGCAGAAGCCAGCCUGACUGCGAGACUGACAAGUCGAGCAGAGUCGAAAGACGGCCAUAGUGAUCCGGUGGUCCCGAGUGGAAGGGCCAUCGCUCAACGGAUAAAAGGUACGCCGGGGAUAACAGGCUGAUGGUGCCCAAGAGUCCAUAUCGACGGCACCGUUUGGCACCUCGAUGUCGGCUCAUCUCAUCCUGGGGCUGGAGCAGGUCCCAAGGGUACGGCUGUUCGCCGUUUAAAGAGGUACGUGAGCUGGGUUUAGAACGUCGUGAGACAGUUCGGUCCCUAUCUGCCGUGGGUGUAGGAUACUUGAGAGGAGUUGCCCCUAGUACGAGAGGACCGGGGUGAACGAUCCACUGGUGGACCAGUUGUCGACUACGGCAGUGCUGGGUAGCUAUGAUCGGACAGGAUAACCGCUGAAAGCAUCUAAGCGGGAAGCCCCCCUCAAAACAAGGUAUCCCUGAGGACCGAGGUAGACCACCUCGUCGAUAGGCCAGAGGUGUAAGCGUGGUAACACGUUCAGCUGACUGGUACUAAUGGUCCGAUAGGCUUGAUUUG